rnacentral:rRNA from 1 species
AUCUACGGCCAUACCACCCUGAACAAACCCAAUCCUAUCUGAUCUUGGAAGCUAAGUAGGAUUGGGCCUGGUUAGUACUUGGAUGGGAGACUACCUAGGAAGACCAGGUGCUGUAGGUG